ensembl:lncRNA
GCAGAUAGAUUUCACCUCUUAAAGGUUGCACAAUUGCCUCAAAUAGCUCACCAGGAGGGGGACGAGUGCUCAAGCAGCAGCCCGUGAGGGAUGCCACAGGCAAAGGUCACACUGAAUUUGAUUACUUUUUACCAUCGUGAUACCACAGUCCCACUUAGAUAGAUAGCUUUUGAUCUCUAUUCAAGUCCCGGGGUACUUUCUUUUCCAUCCCCUGUCUUUGCUUUCCCUGACUAUAGAACAGCCAGAAUCCAGUUCCCCACAAUGCUUUUCCCUGUUUGGUUGUGCCUUCCUUUCAUCCUCAGUGCUGCCCUCUGUGCUAAGAAUAAAACAGGUUGAUAUGAACCCAGAGAUGGGAUGUGAUUGGUAGACACGAGACUACAGAAGUCUCUUGGAAGAGGCUGCAUUUAAACUGCAAAGUAACUGAUGACCAGGAGCGGCAUGGCAGAAUCAGCUCAAAGUGGAACUAUGUCUUCGUGGAAGCCACACGACGAUGGAAGUCAAGCAAUCGGGAUUGGGAUAUCGGAAGUCACCAGGUUCUGUGUCCCAAGGCUUGGAAAUGGACAGAGACACAAGGACAGUAGCAGGAGCAAAGAGAAACACUUCCAAGUUCAAUUACAGUGC